ensembl:snoRNA
AUCCUCUUGUCGUUAAUAGAUGUGACGACUGGGUGUUCACGUUGUCAUGUGACAUGUGCUUCCCUCAAACUUUGUUAUGACCUCGGCACAUUACCCAAAUGAGG